GGACAUAUUUGAACACUUAUUUAAAUCCUAAGUUCAACAGGUAGCAAAGUCGUGAACAGCUGGAAAUUGAUGAAAAAUUGUUAAGAAUUGGAUAUUAAACAGAUAUCAUCAUAUUCACAUUGCAUCCAUCAGUUAAUAAUUUUUUUGCAAAUUGCAGUAUAUAGGCCUGAUCUCCUACCAAACUUUCCAUUGCUGACAUGAAAAGAAAACCCUACUUAUGGUUCUCUCAAACUCAAAAAAUCAUAAUUAAGGUUAGAGCAAAAGAUCAAUUUCAUUGCAAUAUAUGCAUGAAGAUUGAAACUUUUCUAUAUUUACAUAUUGAAUUAUUCAUGCACCUAAUGUAACAACAGACCUUUUUCUUGGGAUUUGUGCAUAAAAACCUGCAUAUAUAUUUGACUAAUGUGCAUGUGUUUUCAGUGGAAAAAUAAGGCAAGUAGCUCCAGAAUACAUCUAAUCUGGAUAUGGAACAAUCUUUUCAAAGAAUUGAAAUAAGCAAGAAAAACAAUGCAAAACUCCUCCCAUUUGAGAAGGAUUUAGCAUUUGAUCAGAAGAUGUAUGAUAGAACUUAUAAUAGAUCUCGAAAACUAAGUAACUUUUAUUGCAAGAUUAUCCAUUUUCUAGGUCUAUUAAGAUUCUAAUAUUGCAUCAAAAUUCGUCGUAAAUUUUGAUAUCUUCUUUUUAUACGUUUUGGCAUAUAACAAUUUCACAAUUUUUAUGGUUUUUUUCCCUCAAAAUGAAAUCCUGCAUGAUAUGAUGAAUCGAAGCAAGAUAAAUGUAAAUUUGCAUCCCUGUCAUGGAUUCACAAUAGAUAUUUCAACUAUAACACAAAAAUAUGGUAGUAUGCAACGUCGUGAUUUACAACUUGUUGCCGUAUAAUUGUUUGAAAUGCAACUAUAAGCUGUGACAAAUGAGAUGCGAACACAUUUAGAGGUAUCCGAGAAAUUAAAUUACAUACUUUUCUCUACUCAUACUACAUAGAAAGUGACUGUAUAUAUAAGGCUCAAAUGACUAUAAGAACAUAAUCACAAUUACCACAAAAACUCAAAAAUUACAGAAAAUCUCAGAAAUCUGUACCAAUUUAAACUGUGAAUGAGUUAUUGAAACAAUAAUGAGAGUACUCACAUGUAAAAUUCACACAACAAAAUCUUUCUUUAGAGUUCUUUAAUCUAGCUAUACUAUUUGAUAUUUGUUAAUCAGUGAUCAAACCACAAACAAGAACUCAUAAAAAGAUUAUGUAAUGAAAUAAAGAUUAACACCAAAAAGUGGGUGACUAAUUAAGCAAGAGAGAAAACAAAAGGUGAAAGGGAAGAUCAAAACCUACUCCAAGUUGGAUAACAUAAUUUGAUUCGCAAAAAUAUACUUUCUGCCAUUGAGAUUGAACAAUCAUCUCAAUUAGGUAUCUGAAAAAGAAUUCAUAGUGCAAUUAGGUGUAUGAAUGAUAGAUGAACAUUUUCACAUAAAUCUCUUCCUCAAUCUUGUUCGAAAGACAUGCCAUGAAAUAAGUAUCUAACAGGAACUGAUACCAUGUUACUUUAAUUUAUCAGCUGUCAUGGUGCAGAUCAGUAACAAAUUAGCUGUUAAACAAAAAACCUAAAGAAAAUAAAUAUUAGAUUUAUUUUUUUCUUCAAAGCAGUAACUAAAGAUGAACUAGAAAUAUUAUAAUCCUGUAGGGGUGUUACGGUUCGACAUAUCGGCCUGUCCCCGCUGACCUGCAAAUUUCUUGUUCUAGUUGCUCAUCGGUUGACAGAGUUGGCUCACUAGCCAUGUAGACUACAUUGAUAGCAUCUGAAAUUUGAUUUGAUUUUUUCCCCCCCUAAUGUUGAAUUCAGGGCCUAUAAAUAGGGAUUGAUUGGUAGAUAAAUUUCAUUACAUCUCACUUUCAUUAUUUUCUACAAUCUCUCUAAUAUAUCACUCUUUUCUCUUUAGCCUAUAAUUUUACAGCUAUCACUCUACUAAUUGUUUCAUUGAAACUCUUCUGAUUUUGUAAAUUGUUCGGUAUUAAUAUUAUUACACCAGUUCAAUAAAGAGUUUUCAUUAUCUGAUCUCUACUUCUAUAUUUCUUGUUGUAUUAUUCUACGUAACAUAAUAGCUAUUGCAUUAUUAUCUUCUUGAAACAAAGAUAAUUUAAGUAGUUUCUAGUCAAAUUUUCAAAUAUUCGAUGAAAAUGUCAAUUGUGUUAUGGUGUUCGAUAAGAUGAAAGAAGAAUUAAAGUUAUUCAUAAAUUAUGAAGGUAAUAUCUCUUUAGUCUUUGAUAUAUGUUUUAUGUUGAUAGUAAUCGAUGCUUAUAAUUGGUAGUAAGAUUUCUUGAUAAUAUUGAUUUGGCUCUUAUAAAGGCACUAUUUGAUGUUAAACACAUUGCAUCAGAUCAACCUACUCACCACAUUGGACAAAUUACUUCACAUUCUUUAUAAGAUUUUAAUUCGAUUAAUUAAACAUUUAGGGAUUGUUUGAGCCCCAUUUUUUUAAAUAAAUGCAUUUUGCAACAGUGUUAUGAUAGAGAAUUUAAGAUUAAGGAAAAAGUUUUGGGUUUAUUUUGAUGGAAAAUAUGGAGCUCAAACAAGGGCCUAGCAUAUAUUGCAUUUCAUGUAAUGGUUAACAAUAGUAUUUUACACGUGUAGGUGUAAAUAUUUUCUUUUCUUUCUGAUAUAGGGUAUUUGAAUAUAAGUUUUAUAUUAAAUAUUUAUAGUGAAUAAUACAAUCUGGUGCUCAUAUAUUGAAAAGUCGUUUACGUAAAUUGGGUAGUGCUAAAUCGAAAAUAUAGCGUAGUAAAUGCCAGUUUUGCUCAUAUUUUCCAAAAUAGUAUAUUCAUGAAGUUCAAAUUGAGUUCGAAAUGUGUGAAACUCAUAUGCUUCGAGCACCAAUAUGGUGCAAGAUAUUAGUAGGGAUUAACUUCUUCAACUUACUUGAAUAGUAGAAUGCAUGUCUAUAUUAAUAUUCGAUGUUGUCCAGAGUAGCUCGAGUUUCAUAAACCAACCAUGCAGUCCCCGAAGCUUUCCCCUUGUAUAGGCAACAAGCUCAAAACAACCAACACACACGAAAGUUUUGAAUAGGAUGUUGCCCAAUACUUAUAUAUGAUGACAACAUAAGUGCAUUCUUCGAUAAUAUAGGCCAUACAACUAGCUGUUGACGAUCUUGCUAUGCUAUAUGGAAAGAAGAAUAUGUUUGGUACAUCACAUUCUCCACCAUUCAAUUUGCUAAUGCCCACGUAGUGAGAAGUGAGCUUUACAUGGUCGAGCGACACUCUGCUUGCAAAAAUUUUCACAUCAUCCCCCAAUGGACGGGCAUCCACAUAAUGCCUCUAACACCAACCUUCAUCAUAUGACCUUCAACCAUUAGUUCCUCAAAUGGAGGACCUUUGUCGCAGAGCCACUGCACAUGUCGAAGCAUCAACACAAUUCCUCUAAAAUGAUCACCGUGUUCCACAAAACAAACUAAUAAAGCACGUAGGUCAUUCGUACAUUGCUUAUCUUUGUCAUCCAUUAUCCCCAAAGCUUUUUUCAUCAAUUUCGUUUGCUUAUCGACCUAUUUGGCAAAUAUGUUGCGAUCAUAAAAUCAUUUCUACAAGAAUGCAUGUCACUGAUCUUCCACAACCAACAACGUAAAUUCAAGUAAGCCUAUUUUGAUACCAACUUUCACGAACUAUCGUGGGAUAUCUUUCUUCCUUUGCCAGGUCUAUAAGCACAAACAAUCAACCCACAUAUAUAUUUAUAGGCAAGAUGUUGAAAAAUACUAGCAUAUGAUGACACCAUUAGUGCACUCUUCGAUCUUAUAGCCCAGAUGCAUUCUUCUUCGUUCAACCACUAACACUCUCCUAAUGUGAAAUGAGCUUUGCAUCAUCGCAACCCUCUCACUAUAAGAAUUUUCACAAUUGUAGCACCAUAUCCCCAUGGAAGAGCCACACAGUGCCCCUCGUACAUCUAUUUGCAGUACCAUCUACAGAUACUUCCUCUGGCAUUAACAUUUACCAUAUACCUCUAAACUAUUAGUUCCUCAUAUAGAUAGUCUCUAUUGCAGCGCCACUAUGCAUGUUGGAGCACAAACAGAAUCCCUCUAAAAUAUUCACAUCGCUUCAAGAAAUAAAGUAACAAUGCAUGUAGACUCAUUUGCAAAUGCCUAGCUUUAUCAUCCAUCAUCCCAAAGUCUUCAUUAGUUCCACUUGCACGCUGAACAAUUUAGCAAAUAUGUUGCAUUUCCAAAAUCAUUUUCGCAAGAACACAUGUCAGUGAUCUCCUACAAUCAACAACACAAAUUAAAGUAGGUCUCCUCUGAUACCAACUUUCACGGACCUCCUGUAAAAUCUCUGGGGUCUUGUGGUUUAAGGUAGCAUUUUCCUCUUGCUUAGGUCGACAAGCCCAAAAUAACCAUCGUACACACGCUUAUAGGUAGAAAUACUACACAAUACCUAUAUAUGAUGACACUAUUAGUGCACUAUUCAAUAAUAGAGGCCAUAAACCUAGCUGUUAGCGACCUUAACAUGUCGAAUGGGGAUGGAAUAUGCUCGAUAUGUGACAUCGAGACUUGUUAAUAGUACCUAUGACUUCAUCCGUACUUACAAACACAAGAUCUAUUAUGAGAGACCAUAUAUUAGAUCAAGAUGCAUCAAGAAACUUGGACAACAUUACAAAUCGAAUAUAAGCACAUAUUUGUAUGCACCGAUGACUUUGAGAAGAUGAAGGUGACCAUCUACAUCUUUUCAGAUGUGAAAUUGCAUGCUACUAAAGUAGAAUUGUGAGUAUAUUUCGAUAGAAUUGUGAGUAUAUUUUCUCAAAGUUGACCCUUAUAACUGCACUUAUUUCAUUUGUCUUUUAAAAU
rnacentral:lncRNA from 1 species